rnacentral:lncRNA from 1 species
GUACAUUUUAUGUUGUAGAUAUGUCGCAGUAGAGUAGUUGCCUGAGGGCACACACUUAAUGUGUUGUGAAAUGUAAUACAACGUUUUUAAUUGUAUAUACCAGGCAUUAAUUUUGCUGGUCCCCAGGAAAAGUAUCUGCUGCCAAUUGGGAUCCAUAAUAAAUACAAAUACAAAUCAUAAACCGCUGUGAAAUAUAUUUUCCAUAACAAAAAAUAUUGUAUUUUCAGCUGUUUGAAACUGGUGUACAAAACCGAAAGUAAAAUACGCAAAAAGGGAAACUUAAGAACGGGCAUCAUAGAAACCCAGCACAUAGAAGACAUAUACGGCUUUUAAAACUUGCUUUCAAUGAGAAUAACAGAUAACUCAAUUGAAAUGUGACUUUGGCCGUGUAGCCCCAAAAAGUUACAUAUUGCAGCGUUAAAGGUAGGGGGAUUCUACUUUGCCAAUCAGACGUAGUUACUAGGCGGGCCUGACAUUUCAUUGGACCAUUCAAGGUUCUCCUACCUGAUUCCCUUCGGGGUUAUUGUAUCCUACGAUAAGUCGUCGGUGAGAAGGAAAAGCGGAAUUCGAACUGCCUCGAUGUGUCGUUUGGAUGUGGAGUCUGACGUGAAAGGACCUGAACAACAUAGACAUGUCCUCCCUUCGUCAAGAUAUCAAAAAUGAAAGCAAAAUUGUAAAAUCAAUAUCCGACAAAGCAACAUGAAAAGAAGAAAAAACUGUGGCGGGACAACUCCACAGGAAUUACAGAAAAAAGAAACUGCUAAAAGCUGUAAUGACAUAACACCAUCAAGCGAGGAAAAUGAUACACUUCAACAUGUUCAAGAAGCAAAUUAAGAAGAUGCAGCCUCCCCAAGAGAACAGCCAUUCUCACCUCAGCAGGUAAAUGUCCUGCCAUCAACUCCUAAAAGAAGAGAGACAUCUCUACAGACACCAGGACCAAGGAAGACAUCUACCCCAAAGGAAUCACCCAAAAAGAGGAACAGAAGAAAGAAAACACUAUCAAAAUUUUGGGCAAAGUUGCACUACACAGAAGAGAAGCUUCUGGAGAGGACCAAAGAGAUGGUCAAUCCAAAGAAAAGACUGAAAAGACUUGAGAUGAUGGCCAAGAGGAAGCAGGUAAUUGUCAACAUGGAAGGCAAAGAGGUGUCAUCAGAGAACAUUACAGCCGGAGAAGACUAAUGCACACACUUGUUAGCCGCUUCCUUCAUCGAGAUGAAGUCAACACUAAUAAAUGGGUAAUCUGGAGAACUUUGGAAAAAGGGACAGUUAUUCCAUAAGAGAGCCUUAAUAACGGACGCUAUGGCAUAUCUUCAUAGAAGAUUUCUGUCUGAGAAUCCAAGGCACAACCUUUCCAAGGCUCAAUUCUUUAAACGAGUCACAGACAGAGAAACAUGUGCUUGCAAAAGGCAUGGAAACUUUGGCUUGAAGAUAAAGAAGCUGCACCAGCUUGGGGUCAUAGAAACAUCAUCCCCAGGCCAGUGUCUGUAGUGACGAUGACAUGUCCUGCUCUGUUUUUGGAUGUUUUCAGCCUAUGUAUGUUAUGUACUUUUGAAGCACUGCAAAAUGAAUUUGAUUGAACUUGAAUCCAUGAUUGUGCCAAUCUCUCAUUUAUUUUCUACAUUAAAUGUCAUGUUUUUAAUCAUACCUCAGUCUUAGUAUACUUAUUAUCAUUACAGAAAUUGUCGACCUCAUUUCUGAAACCUAGGUAUCAUUACCGCAACAGGUGUUCAUUUAAUGUUAUUUUAAUGAAUGGAAAAAUUGUAAAUUGCUUUUAAAUGCAUGUGCAGAAUCUAUAAGUUAUGUUCUUUCAGGUUUGCCACAUCAUUUUGAAAAUGUCAGGUUUCAAUGAAAUAUCUAAAAAUAUUAGGUUGUAGAUUGUGGAAGAUGUUGCGGUAAUGAGAGAGCAGUCAAAAUCAAAUGUUAUAUUUGUUUCAGAGUUUCAAGUAACUGCAUGACUAACAUUUUCAAUUAUUAUUAUUUUUUGAUUAUUAGCUUUCCUAAUGGUAUCGACUGUUGUGGUGAUGAGAUUUUUAAGGACUUGUUUUUGAAAAUGUUAAAUGUGUUAAUUUAAAAACAUUUACUGACAAUUUAAUGCUCACAAACACUUCAGACCUUGUUAUUAAUGCCUAAAAAGGAAAUGUAUUGCAAGUCUAAAGAUUUCAUGUUUGAAAUCUUUGAAACCAAGAUUUUGUGAGUCACCCUAAUACAGAACAUCAAUAGACAAGAACAGCUCAAGUACAGAACUACAUAAAAAUUUUUUAAAAGGCACGCGUAGCCUACAUAUCAAUGCGUACACACAAAAUAUCUACCGUAAUUUCCGGACUAUAAGCCGCAACUUUGUUCCCAGGCUUCGAACCUCGCGGCUUAAACAAUGACGCGGCUAAUAUAUGGAUUUUUCCCGCUUUCAUUUUUUUUUUUCUCCAAAAAACACAUUCUGUGACGUGCUCAGAUUUUUGGCGGCAUGAAGCUUUCAUUAGACCAAUGAAAUUGGCAAACGGGUUAAGGUCAAACAACUUUUUUGUUUACUGUUUAGAUUAAAUCGAGCGCUCUCAAACUUCCCAUCAUUCUGAUUACGGUAGUCAUUUUGUCACCAUCAUGGCAAAGACACGGAGAAAUGCAUAUGAUGCAGCUUUCAAGUUGAAGGCGAUUGAUCUGGCUGUUGGAAAAGGAAAUGGAGCUGCUGCACGGGAGCUUGGUCUUAAUGAGUCGAUAAGACGUUGGAAACGGCAGCGUGAGGAAUUGACUCAGUGCAAAAAGACAACUAAAGCUUACUGCAAUUUUUUUUUGUUACAAGCCGUGUUUCAUUAAAGCCUGUGUAAAGUUAAUUUGUUUCAAUGUACCGGUAGGCACCUGCGGCUUAUAGACAUGUGUGGCUUAUUUAUGUUCAAAAUAAAAAAAUGUUUUUAAUUCAGUGGGUGCGGCUUAUAUUCAGGUGCGCUUAAUAGUCCGUAAUUUAUGGUAGGAGAGGUGUUACUCAUUUGUCAUGUGAAACGUAUUCUACUAUAUUCCAACGAUAGAAUUAGAUGAAUCAUUAUAUUUCCAUGAUUCCAACAGUUCAAUUAACUAGACCUAGAUUUGUUUGCCUAUAUCAUGCUGCGUGGCAGUGUGAAAAUUAUUUUAAAGUGCAGGAUAUGCAUUUUCUUUAAGGGAGGGGGGUAGUUGGAU